CAGGCAGGCCUUAGGAACAAGCUGCCUGAUGUGCAGGGUUUCAUAGGCGGUUAAGAGAGGGCAUCCUGGAGGAGCCCUGGCAUCAGGAAGCCAGAAAGGGAAAACAGAGCCAAGUUUGGCCACUGGGGCCUCCACAGCCCUCUGGAAGAAGGGGCUGACUGACAGGAAGGCACUCCUCUGGUGUUCACUGGCCAGACCCCUGUGGGCUCAGAAGACUACCUAGACCCAUGAAGAAAGACUCUAGACACAUUUUUAUAAUCAGAAACUUAGUUUAUUGUGAAUAAACCACUCAACUUUGAGCAGA